GCUGCAGCAGCUGGGCUGCUAACGCACACGGCUGACAUCAGCCAGGCUGGGUUUUUGCAAGCAACUCAUUCUGUUUUUUCCAGACAAAAUCAGUUUUAGCUGCAAAAUCCAGUUUUCCAGUAUUCAUGGGUUGUGUGAAAAACGGAGGACAAAGGGAAGAUGCAGUGAAAACAAGUGAUGCAGCUGCCUCGUUCUUUUGCUCUCCUAAACCCAGCUCAUCUGCCUGGCACCCCUGGAAGCCUCUGCCUUCUGUCACUUUCUUAAGUGCACGUACCAGCUGAUCAAAUACUUUAUUAAAUUAGACGCUGAAUUAAAAUUUUUAAAAAAAUUUUAAAAAAGCCAGAAAGAAAAAAGAAAAAAAAAAAAGAGCCAUACAGUAUGAGCAAAGGAAUCCAGUUUCUCAGAACUAUAAAUUUCAAAUCCAUCUGGUCUGGGAGGGGGACAAUAAAAAUAUAUGGAAAGUGAUUAAGAAGUGCUCCACGAUACCCACUCUAGCUAGCUACCACAGAUCCUCUGGACCACGCAGUGCAUUUAUACCACAGCUAAGCAGCUCCAGGAGAUGCAUAAAUGAAUAUCACUGCCUCCAGUGAAUGUAAGAGAAAGCAGACAAGCAGUCACUUGCCCAAGGCGACGCUUUAAAUCAGCGUUAGAACUGGGAAUAAAAUUCCCAAGUCAUUCUGCUUUCCUGGUUCAGGCACCAUUCAGUGGAUUGCAGCACAAAAAGAAAAAAAAAAA